rnacentral:rRNA from 1 species
UACCGAUGGCGAAGNCAGCCCCCUGGGAUAACACUGACGUUCAUGCUNGAAAGCGUGGGUAGCAAACAGGAUUAGAUACCCUGGUAGUCCACGCCCUAAACGAUGUCAAUUAGCUGUUGGGCAACUUGAUUGCUUAGUAGCGUAGCUAACGCGUGAAAUUGACCGCCUGGGGAGUACGGUCGCAAGAUUAAAACUCAAAGGAAUUGACGGGGACCCGCACAAGCGGUGGAUGAUGUGGAUUAAUUCGAUGCAACGCGAAGAACCUUACCUGGUCUUGACAUGUACGGAAUCUCUCAGAGACGGGAGAGUGCCUUCGGGAACCGUAACACAGGUGCUGCAUGGCUGUCGUCAGCUCGUGUCGUGAGAUGUUGGGUUAAGUCCCGCAACGAGCGCAACCCUUGUCAUUAGUUGCCAUCAUUAAGUUGGGCACUCUAACGAGACUGCCGGUGACAAACCGGAGGAAGGUGGGGAUGACGUCAAGUCCUCAUGGCCCUUAUGACCAGGGCUUCACACGUCAUACAAUGGUCGGUACAGAGGGUCGCCAAGCCGCGAGGUGGAGCCAAUCUCACAAAGCCGAUCGUAGUCCGGAUUGCACUCUGCAACUCGAGUGCAUGAAGUCGGAAUCGCUAGUAAUCGCAGGUCAGCAUACUGCGGUGAAUACGUUCCCGGGUCUUGUACACACCGCCCGUCACACCAUGGGAGUGGGGGAUACCAGAAGUAG